rnacentral:tRNA from 1 species
GCGGGCAUGGUGUAGCGGUAGCACGUCAGUCUUCCAAACUGAAAGCACGGGUUCGAUACCCGUUGCCCGCUCCA